rnacentral:snRNA from 1 species
AUGGCUUUUCAGCCUUUUGGCCAAAAUCAAAAUCAAGUAUAGUAUCUGUUCUUAUCAGUUACUAUCUGAUAUGUUUUCUAUCUAAUAGUAAAAGGAUAAUUCAAAUUGAAGAAUAUCA